rnacentral:rRNA from 1 species
AUUGAACGCUGGCGGCAGGCCUAACACAUGCAAGUCGAACGGUAACAGGAAACAGCUUGCUGUUUCGCUGACGGGUGGCGGACGGGUGAGUAAUGUCUGGGAAACUGCCUGAUGUAGGGGGAUAACUACUGGAAACGGUAGCUAAUACCGCAUAGCGUCGCAAGACCAAAGAGGGGGACCUUCGGGCCUCGGGCCAUCAUAUGUGCCCAGAUGGGAUUAGCUAGUAGGUGGGGUAACGGCUCACCUAGGCGACGAUCCCUAGCUGGUCUGAGAGGAUGACCAGCCACACUGGAACUGAGACACGGUCCAGACUCCUACGGGAGGCAGCAGUGGGGAAUAUUGCACAAUGGGCGCAAGCCUGAUGCAGUCAUGCCGCGUGUAUGAAGAAGGCCUUCGGGUUGUAAAGUACUUUCAGCGGGGAGGAAGGGAGUAAAGUUAAUACCUUUGCUCAUUGACGUUACCCGCAGAAGAAGCACCGGCUAACUCCGUG